rnacentral:rRNA from 1 species
AGAGUUUGAUCAUGGCUCAGGACGAACGCUGGCGGCGUGCCUAACACAUGCAAGUCACGGGGGCCCGCAAGGGUAACCGGCGAACGGGUGCGUAACACGUGAGCAAUCUGCCGAUUUCUGGGGGAUAGCCGGUCCAACGACCGGGUAAUACCGCAUACGCUCAUUGGGGGGCAUUCCCCGAUGAGGAAACCUCCGGGGGAAAUCGAGGAGCUCGCGGCCUAUCAGCUAGUUGGUGAGGUAACGGCUCACCAAGGCGACGACGGGUAGCUGGUCUGAGAGGAUUGCCAGCCACAUUGGGACUGCGACACGGCCCAGACUCCUACGGGAGGCAGCAGUGGGGAAUAUUGCGCAAUGGACGAAAGUCUGACGCAGCGACGCCGCGUGUGGGAUGAAGCUUUUCGGAGUGUAAACCACUGUUGCUCGGGACGAACCUCCCCUUUCGAGGGGACUGACGGUACCGAAUGAGGAAGCACCGGCUAACUCUGUGCCAGCAGCCGCGGUAAUACAGAGGGUGCGAGCGUUGUCCGGAAUCACUGGGCGUAAAGGGCGCGUA